AGUGGGGAAUAUUGCACAAUGGGCGCAAGCCUGAUGCAGCGACGCCGCGUGAGGGAUGGAGGCCUUCGGGUUGUGAACCUCUUUCGCCAGUGAAGAAGGUCCUGCUCUUUGUGGUGGGGUUGACGGUAGCUGGGUUAAUGAAGCGCCGGCUAACUACGUGCCAGCAGCCGCGGUAAUACGUAGGGCGCGAGCGUUGUCCGGAAUUAUUGGGCGUAAAGGGCUUGUAGGCGGCUGGUCGCGUCUGCCGUGAAAUCCUCUGGCUCAGCUGGGGGCGUGCGGUGGGUACGGGCUGGCUUGAGUGCGGUAGGGGAGACUGGAACUCCUGGUGUAGCGGUGGAAUGCGCAGAUAUCAGGAGGAACACCGGUGGUGAAGGCGGGUCUCUGGGCCGUUACUGACGCUGAGGAGCGAAAGCGUGGGGAGCGAACAGGAUUAGAUACCCUGGUAGUCCACGCUGUAAACGUUGGGCACUAGGUGUGGGGGGCCUUUUCCGGGUUUUCCGCGCCGUAGCUAACGCAUUAAGUGCCCCGCCUGGGGAGUACGGCCGCAAGGCUAAAACUCAAAGGAAUUGACGGGGGCCCGCACAAGCGGCGGAGCAUGCGGAUUAAUUCGAUGCAACGCGAAGAACCUUACCAAGGCUUGACAUGGGCUGGAUUGCUUCGGAGACGGGGUUUCCCUUUUUUGGGCUGGUUCACAGGUGGUGCAUGGUUGUCGUCAGCUCGUGUCGUGAGAUGUUGGUUAAGUCCCGCAACGAGCGCAACCCUUGUCUCGUGUUGCCAGCACGUUGUGGUGGGGACUCGCGGGAGACUGCCGGGGUUAACUCGGAGGAAGGUGGGGAUGACGUCAAAUCAUCAUGCCCCUUAUGUCUUGGGCUUCACGCAUGCUACAAUGGCCGGUACAGUGGGUUGCGAUGCUGUGAGGCGGAGCGAAUCCCUGAAAGCCGGUCUCAGUUCGGAUCGGUGUCUGCAACUCGACACCGUGAAGUUGGAGUCGCUAGUAAUCGCAGAUCAGCAGCGCUGCGGUGAAUACGUUCUCGGGCCUUGUACACACCGCCCGUCACGUCAUGAAAGCUGGCAACACCCGAAGCCCGUGGCCUUAUGGGGAGCGGUCGAAGGUGGGCUGGUGAUUGGGACGAAGUCGUAACAAGGUAGCCGUACCGGAAGGUGC
rnacentral:rRNA from 1 species